UCCCUUCCUCUCCCUCCAGCUCUUUUAAGCUGGAGAAGUGUGAAGAAAGCCCCUCCCUUUGCUCCACUUUCAGGUGAUUUUGUGAGAAGCAAAUAUUUGGAGCCUUGGCAGCCACCUUGUGCCAAUGAGGAAAGACCAAAAGAAUUGCAGAGGCCUUUCCAGAGCUCUGACCCGAGUCAAUGAACCAAUCCUAGAAACACCUGUUGCUUGUUGGGUUACUCUCCCUGGUCAGAGACUCUGAUGGGACACAAGUGUGGAGACUGUGAGUUCUGACGCAGACUUUUACUUGGCAAAGGUUCAGAAAAAUCAAGUGGCUGAUAAGAAGAUAUAUGAUUUCUACUGAGGGCCACGCAAAAGGCAAGUGUCUCACGUAUGAACUGAGUUUGCUCUUUUGAUCCUGAGAACAGCUCUGUCGAAUUGGGGAGGUGUUCUGGACAUUUUACAGAUGACGAAACUGAGGCCCAGAAAAGUUAAGUGACUCACCCAGGGUCCCAGUGUUACUAGAAGGUGUGCAGUGGUCUUCCAGGGAAGAUCCUCUUGUAUCAGAAGGAAGAGAUGAUCAGUUCGGAAGGCCCGAGAAAAGACAAGGUCAUUUGAAAGUGAUAGUUCAUCCGGGGGUGAUCCUGGAGCACGAAGUGACAAAAAAGUCACACGUCAAGGCACUGACGUAGAAAGGGUCUCCCUGUCUCAGAGUCCACCUGGUCUCUUCCUUCUCAGGGUGGCUCCUCUCUCUCUCUCUGCCUCUGCCCCUUGUCUUAGCCCAGCAUGGGUGCAGGUCCCAGGUUCUGUGACAUCACAGUUCAGGGCCCACAGCCCAAUCUCGGAUCACGCCAUUGAGAGUAUCUGAUUGGCCACUGGCCAGCCAAUGGUGGGGCAAACUUUGGAGCAGGCUAUCACUGUUGGAACAAUCAGUGCUGAAGGAGUUGAAGAGGAUGGGCAAGCCACGGCUUCUCCUUCUGGAAACGGAGCUCAUCUCCAAAGAAGACCAUCAUUUUCUACUAUGGACAAUGUGGAUGCUAGUUCUCUCCCACUCACAGGUUCAGCACAUGUUACAGAAGAGCGUUUUCCUUCAGAGAUUUUUCACAGGUGUCCCACAGCCCAUAGCAAAUACAGGGCAUAUUAAGUUCAAAUAAAUAUAUGCAAAUAUAUAAUUCACUCAGUAACCAGAGAUGAUCAAGAAGGUUAAAACUGGAAGAUAAUCAGUUGCUGACAAUGACACUCUUCAGGGCAGGUGAACCAGCGUACAGAUGACCCAGUUCUUCCACAUCUGGAUCCCACCUCGACUGAACCUUACGCAAUCUACUGCUGGACUUUCCAAUGGCAUGAGUUGGUAAAUCAUCUCAUUUUUGCAAAAGCAAGUGUAACUUGAGUUUCCAUCACUUGCAGCUGAGAGAAUACUUGUUCUUGAAUUUUAUCCACAAUGAGGUGCUGGAUGUUUCCUGUUUGCCCCAUGAACUCACUCUCUGCCUUCCCUGUCUUGCUGUCUACCCUUAUUGGUUCUUUUUUCCUUUCUGCUUUGGUUUCCAGUUGGCUCUGGCCAAUGAUAGAAGACGAUAAAAGAGCGAGGGAGAAUAAAGUCAUGUGUUUAUUUCUUCAGCGUUCUCCAAGCAGGGUUGCCAACUGCCUGGGCGUGUUUUGUCACAGAUCUCAUAACUUCUCUCGAGGCAGCCUGCUCCAUCUGAUUCUCCCCUUCUGAAUUAUAACCAGUUUUCACUGAGUACUUCCUAUACUCAGGAACAGUGAGAGCUAUCUUGUGUACAUUAGUUCCCUAAGUCCACUUCUACAGGAAAUGUUUGUUAGAAUUAUUGCUUUGUUAUAAAUAAGGAACUUGAGAGGGACAGAGAACUCUAGUAACUCGUCAAAAGUCCUGUGCACCUCUGUGAUCUCCUUACAGGCUAAAAAUCUGACUCCACCAACACCGACUCUGGCUUCCAGCUUCAUAUUUCCCCAGUCCCCCUCACCCUUCACCUUCCCUUCUCAAAGUUACCCAAUAGCUCCCAAUCACUCACUGGAUGCAAGUUCUCAGUUUUCUGGACUGACUUGAUCAAGGCUGGUAUUGGUUAGUCUCCUGCUCACCUGCCCAGCCAGCCUCAUCUCCUGUCUUUUGCCUCAUUCUAGUCCUGAAUUUUAUGCUGUAAAGAAGAAGAAUCAUUCCUCCUUUUCCAGUACCCAUUAGAGUUUCCAACUCUGAGCUUUUUUAUAUUCUAGAUCUUCUUCUUGCAAUAGUCUAUAUAUGUUGCUAUAGAGACUUGAACAAAGAUAAUGGCACUAAACUAAACAUGAAGAGAAGGAUGUGAUAGACAUAACUGAUGGAGUAUAGUAUAGAUGCUGAUGGAGUAUAGAGCCUGCUGAACUGCAGAGGCAGGAAGGAAGAAAAACACAUGCCUCUACAGUGAUAGGAUGAUGCAGUAACCAAUAUCAGCAUGGAAACUUGGAAGAAAAGAUGAAAUAAUUGCUGCAGUUUCCUGAAGUGACUCAAUUUUUCCUUUGGAGAUGGCACACUGAGUAUCCAUCUUCUCUCCAUGAUUGUCCAACCUCCUUGAAGUUAGGUGGGGCUUUGUGACUCCUUUUGCUAGUGGGUUGAGCAGAAGUGAGAUCUCUGCUGGGCUCAAGCAUGGAAAGGCCGACUCCUGAACUUCCAGCUUCUCUUCCCAGUGGCAGAAAAGCAGAAGCCACAGUCAAGAGGGAGGAGCCACAAAAUGGAACCAGCCCCAAUUGCCGAUGCUGAGCUCACAUCUUAUUUUGCAAAACAGAACUCAACCUGUGAUAAGAUAAACCAGUGAUAGUUUGGAGUGUUGGCAAUUCCAGCAUGACCUUCCACUCCUGAACAGUACCUCUCCUCUAAUAGCAGCAAUUAUGUGAGGAAUUGUGUCCCCCUCCCUCGCUGAAAUGUAUAUAUUGAAAUUCCAGCCUGCAGUGCCUAGAAGGUAAUCCUAUCAGAAGACACAGUCUUUAAAGAAAUAAUUAAAUUAAAAUGAAGUCUUCAGGGUGGGUCAUAAUCCCUCGUAAGAAGAGGAAAUUUGGACAGAAAUACCUGUGCACACAGAGGAAAGACCAUGGGAAGAUGCAGAGAGAAGACAGCCAUCUGGGAACCAAAGGGAGAGGCCGCCAAAGAAACCAACCCUGUCUGCAUCCUGAUCUUGGAUUUCCAUAUUAUGGAAGCUUCCAUGUUAUGAGAAAAUAAAUUUCUAUUUUUUUAGACACCC